AUGCAAUUCAAAAAACAAAUUUUUCUUCCCCCCAAAUGCUUGCUGACGUUCUCUCACUUCCUCUUCAUCUUUAUUCUCUCUUCCUCUAUCUCUGUCAUCAUUUUCUUGCCUUUCUAUGCGUUUGAGAUGGAAGAUCUGAAGUGUAAAAUGACAGUGGCAUUAUGGUUCUGCGUGCGAACUCAUGUGAAACACGUGUGUGACACAGGUGUCCUGUUUCCAGUGUCGGUAUAA